GAUGACGUGCCGGCAGUCGAG
rnacentral:misc_RNA from 1 species